rnacentral:rRNA from 1 species
UACGUAGGGUGCAAGCGUUGUCCGGAAUUAUUGGGCGUAAAGAGCUCGUAGGCGGUCUGUUGCGUCGGCUGUGAAAACCCGGGGCUCAACCCCGGGCCUGCAGCCGAUACGGGCAGACUAGAGUUCGGCAGGGGAGACUGGAAUUCUUGGUGUAGCGGUGAAAUGCGCAGAUAUCAGGAGGAACACCGGUGGCGAAGGCGGGUCUCUGGGCCGAUACUGACGCUGAGGAGCGAAAGCGUGGGGAGCGAACAGG